rnacentral:rRNA from 1 species
CCUACGGGUGGCAGCAGUGGGGAAUAUUGGGCAAUGGGCGCAAGCCUGACCCAGCAACGCCGCGUGAAGGAAGAAGGCCCUCGGGUUGUAAACUUCUUUUAUUGAGGACGAAACAAAUGACGGUACUCAAUGAAUAAGCAACGCCUAACUACGUGCCAGCAGCCGCGGUAAUACGUAGGUGUCAAGCGUUAUCUGGAUUUCCUGGGUGUAAAGGGCGUGUAGGCGGGACUGGAAGUCAGAUGGGAAAACCAUGGGCUCAACCCAUGGCCUGCAUUUGAAACUGGAGUUCUUGAGUGAAGGAGAGGCAGGCGGAAGGCGGGGUGUAGCGGUGAAAUGCGUAGAUAUACGGAGGAACACCGGUGGCGAAGGCGGCCUGCUGGACAUUAACUGACGCUGAGGCGCGAAAGCGUGGGGAGCAAACAGGAUUAGAUACCCGUGUAGUC